rnacentral:rRNA from 1 species
UGAGGAAUAUUGGUCAAUGGGCGAGAGCCUGAACCAGCCAAGUCGCGUGAGGGAAGAAUGUCCUAUGGAAUGUAAACCUCUUUUGUCGGGGAGCAAAGACAGUCACUUGUGACCGGAUGAGAGUACCCGAAGAAAAAGCAUCGGCCAACUCCGUGCCAGCAGCCGCGGUAAUACGGAGGAUGCGAGCGUUAUCCGGAUUUAUUGGGUUUAAAGGGUGCGUAGGCGGAACGGAAAGUCAGCGGUAAAAAUGCGGGGCUCAACCCCGUCGAGCCGUUGAAACUGUCGUUCUUGAGUGGGCGAGAAGUAUGCGGAAUGCGAGGUGUAGCGGUGAAAUGCAUAGAUAUCACGCAGAACUCCGAUUGCGAAGGCAGCAUACCGGCGCCCAACUGACGCUGAAGCACGAAAGCGUGGGUAUCGAACAGG